rnacentral:rRNA from 1 species
GAUGAACGCUCGCUACAGGCUUAACAUAUGCAAGUCGAGUGACCGGCGCACGUGUGAGUAACCCGUAUCCAACCUCCCCUUUACUCUGGGAUAGCCUUUCGAAAGAAAGUUUAAUACCCGAUAUAAAGGAUUGGGUUGCGUUCCAUUAGGUUGUUGGUGAGGUAACGGCUCACCAAGCUUUCGAUUGAUAUGGGUUCUGGGAGGAAGGUCCUCAACAUAAGAACUGUGACACGGUCCAAAGGCCUACGGGAGGCAGCAGUGAUGAAUAUUUGUCAAUGGGAGCUAGCCUGAACCGGCAAAGUAGAGUGAAGGAUGAAGGAUUAGGGGUCGUAAACUUCUUUGAUAUAGGAAUAGGUGUUAUAUGAAGAAGGAUCGGCUUAUUCCGUGCCAGCAGCCGCGGUAAUUC